rnacentral:misc_RNA from 1 species
AACGGUCUAUACCUGCGGUACCUGCGGAAGGAUCAUUAUUGAUUUUAACAGGAUGUGCUGGCUCUCAAAGGGGGCAAUGUGCACUCCUAAUAAAACCAAUAUCCACCUGUGCACCUUAAGUAGACUAGUAGGACUCAUCACAGUCUUUCCAGUCUAUGUUCCUUCACAAACCUUUUUUGAAAUGUAAAUGAAUGAUCAUAUGUAUAAUUAAUAACAACUUUCAACAAUGGAUCUCUAGAU